GUCCACAGUCUUGCCACCCUGAAUGCUCCCAGUCUCUUCUGACUUCGGAAGCUCAGUGAGAUUGGGCCUCAAGUAGUACUUGGAUGGGAGAAACUGACAUUUGAGGUGGAGA
rnacentral:rRNA from 1 species